AAAGACAUUAUUCCUAGAUGGGGAAUCCCAAACAAAAUUUCCAGUGAUAAUGGAGCACACUUCACUGCUCAGGUGGUGAAAGAUGUGGGUAAAUUUUUGCAAAUCAAUUUGACCAAUCACUGUGCCUACCACCCACAAAGUGGAGGUGCAGUGGAAAAAGAGAAUGGCACCACCAAGGCAAAACUAAGCAAAAUGUGUGAAGAAAAAAAAAUUUAAUUGGGUUCAGUGCUUACCACUGGUACUCAUGUACAUGAGAAUGAGGGUCAGAGACCGAACAAAAUUGUCCCCUUUUGAAAUACUUUUUGGAAGACCCCCACAUAUGGGGUGGGAACCACACAGGGCGGCAGGUGAUACCCUUCGAAAUGAAAAUGACAUGUUGCAGUAUUGUAUUUCUAUGUCUUCUAUCCUUCAAAAUAUCUCAAAACAGGUUAAAGCAGCACUACCACGCCCCGCAGAGGGACCUUUGCACAACAUCAAACCAGGAGAUUUCGUGUUGGUGAAAAACCUGAGGAGGAAAUCCUGGAAGGCGAGACGGUGAGAGGGGCCAUUUCAGGUUCUGCUGACGACUCACACCGCCGUGAAGGUCGCGGAGCGUGCCACCUGGGUGCACGUUGCCCAUUGCCGGAGGGUUGGUCCUGGACUAAAAGGUGUAAACCAAAGGGAGGACGGCUAGUCGACUGCUACGGACCAUUCGUAUUGGUGGGAACCACAGAUACCUGUAUACUGCAAGUUUAUACGAAGAACGACACGAGAGAACUGCAACAGCUCACAAGGUAUUGGAGGACGACUCCAGUAUUCUGGGUUUGGUUUGGACACACGCAGACGACAUCUUUAAUGUGGAAAGCAGGAUAGCUUGGCACGACUGCACCGUGUGGUCCUACCAAACCCGAACCUACAAAGGAAAUUAAUCAACAAGGGCUCACGACCCCAACUCUAACUGUGCUCAGGGCUCACGACCCCAACUCUAACUGUGCUCAGGGCUCACGACCCCAACUCUAACUGUGCUCAAUCCGGAAUCAUCAAGGGCUCACGACCCCAACUCUAACUGUGCUCAAUUUCUUCAAGAAAACGAACUAUUUUUCUUCUUUCAAAAAUGAGGUUCAUGAUCAUAUUAUGUGUGUGCAUUUUUGCUUUUACAACUGCACAGAACUCUAUGUACACUAUGGUUAAGGGUAAUAACUAGAGCUACGUAACGAUGACAGUAAAUUAAGUUAUGAAUAAAUCAUAAAAAGGGAGGAGUGUAGUGGAGGACUUUUAUUAUGCUUUUAUUUUCAUAUUAUUCAUCCUAUUUUUCAUUUUUUAAUUACAAUCAUAAGCUCAUAAAUUGUGAUUCAUAUGGAGAUCAUGUUUUUCUGCUAACGUACAGAAUUAUGCUCUUUCUGUCUUUUGAGCAAAGUACAAUGUCCAAGGACUUAAACAUCAUGUACUGAGAACAAGACAUACGUUUUAUGAUUUCACUA